CCUACGGGAGGCAGCAGUAGGGAAUCUUCCACAAUGGGCGAAAGCCUGAUGGAGCAACGCCGCGUGGGUGAAGAAGGUCUUCGGAUCGUAAAACCCUGUUGUUAGAGAAGAAAGUGCGUGAGAGUAACUGUUCACGUUUCGACGGUAUGUAACCAGAAAGCCACGGCUAACUACGUGCCACCAGCGGCGGUAAUACGUAGGUGGCAAGCGUUAUCCGGAUUUAUUGGGCUUAAAGGGAACGCAGGCGGUCUUUUAAGUCUGAUGUGAAAGCCUUCGGCUUAACCGGAGUAGUGCAUUGGAAACUGGGAGACUUGAGUGCAGAAGAGGAAAGUGGAACUCCAUGUGUAGCGGUGAAAUGCGUAGAUAUAAGGAAGAACACCAGUGGCGAAGGCGGCUCUCUAGUCUGUAACUGACGCUGAGGUUCGAAAGCGUGGGUAGCAAACAGGAUUAGAUACCCGGGUAGUC
rnacentral:rRNA from 1 species